CAGAAUGUCACUGGUGCUGAGUACCCGCUCGCCCUCCAGCCUGCUUCUGUGUUCCACAGCAACCGCACACACACAGUGCUGUCUGCGAGCCGUUCUGUGUUCGUGAGGGUUUGCUAUGGGAGAGGUAUAACCCUGGUUCAUCAGAAUCAGGUGAUCCCAGGAGGAAUUGUUCAUCCAGGUGUUCUCCAGGACCAAGGACCCAGAGUUCUCCUGUUCUUUCUCAGUGACCUGGGAAAAUGAAGCCCCCACGCCCCGCAUGGAUAGCUCAGAAUUGUGGAGUCCACCGUCCCUCCCCCAGAGUCAUGGUUUCCACCAGCACAGAGGCUGCUUUGGAGACAAUGGAUCAUUUUCUUCCCCUAAACCAAACACCCUCCUGCUCAACUGGCAUUAUUCCUAAAGCGGCUUCACUGGGCAGACUGAAGGGCCAUGGCAGCCCAAGUGGAUGGACAUGGGAGAGAACGCGACACCUGCUGGUACAGGAGCGAGGGCACGUCAUUACCAAGCAUGAGCAGCAAACAUGGCAGGACAGGAGACACGUGGAAAAGUGGCUGAAGAUGCUGGGAGAAUGGCAGAAAUACAGGAAGAGCAAGAAGGUAACGUGGGGAGGAAGAGGCUUCCAGAACCACUGUCUGCAGAGUCAGGGGGAUGGGCACCCAUGGCUGUGGCCUGGCACCAUCUGCGUCUCAGAGAGCGGGUAGCACCCUCUCCUCACUCAGAGGACAGCAGGCCUGGUCACCAGUUUUGCUGCCUAUUUGUGCAAGCAUCACCUUGCUGGGAGGGAAUCUGAUGCCAGGGCUGGGGCCACCCUAGAUCAGGGCUAGGGAAGCCUCCUGGUGAAGGAACAGGUGCAGAUCAGAGUUCAGACUCUGAGUGCUCACCCACUCUUUCAGCCCUGGGAGGAGAGGCCCUGUCCCAGCUUCACCUCACCUCUAUGGAGGAAUCAUGGGGCCAAAACCAGAGACUUCCAAAAUCCUUGGGCCCUGGUCCUUGCUGGGGUCACCCCUUGGCCUGUGUCACCAGAUCAGUUCUCUGCCAGAGUGUACAAAGGAAUUCUACCAAAGGUCCGGGGCUGGGUGUGGUCAGUCCUGCUAAACAUUGAGGAAGCCAAGCCUGAGAACCUGGGAAAUACAAGGUAUACUCAGCCAGAGAACAACAAACCGGCCAGGCUCUGUCAGGAGCCCAGGUCUUCAGCUGGAGGGAACAUCGAGCCCAGCUUAUGGGGAGGGCUGGGGUGGUCAGAGGCACAUCCUGGGCACAGACGGUGACACAGGCACCACAGACGAGCUCAGCUCUGGUGACCCUCCCUGGCUUCAGAAAGAAGCCCAAAAGCAGCUUUCUGCAGAAGGAAACCUUCCUUCUUUCCCUCCUUCCGGAAGUGCUGACUAUGGGCUGACUGCCAUCUGGGGCAGGGGGCCUUCCUUCUGUUCUGAGGCUGCUUCCUCCUCCUGGCCCUGUCCUACAGGACAUGAAGGAAAAGGGCAAGAGGUCCUCUGAACACAUCCACCAGAUCGACCUGGACGUGAGCCGGACACUGAGGAAUCACAUAAUAUUUAGGAAAUGAUAUGGCAUCAGGUAAGCCUAUGGGGGCCACAGGGUCCCAGUGGAGAUGAAGUGAACCACACGGAUGGAGACAUCUCCGGAGCAAAAACCAGGUUCACCCAGGAGGGAUGACAGAGCUGCCAAGGGCUCCCCUGGCCCAGGGAGCAGCCGGCACCAUGCACUGAGCACCUCCCAGGUUCAAAGCCCUGGGCCAGGCUAAAAUAUGUGGGGCCAGAACCCAGGACGAUCCUGAGGAGACAGAAGGCAGCAAACAAAAUCAUGCACAAUGGUGAAAGGUGCUCUUCCUGACUCACGGGGAGCCAUGGUAGGGACCCAUGGUGGGGGGCAGCAGGAUGGAGGGCUGCUGAGCCUCCCCUGGCAACACUGACAGUACCAAAUGCUGGGGGCAGGGGGAUUCGGGGCCCCAGAAACUCUCAUCCACAGCUGGUGGAAACGUGACAUGACACAGCCACUUUGGAAGCCAGCUGGACAGUCACUCGCAAAGCUCAGUGGACUCGAACCACAUGUCCCCAAAAUGUCACAGACAUUGAACCAACUGAUUUGAAAACGGACAUCCACAUUGUAGAAAGUAAAAAGUUCCUCUUCAAAGUUUCCCUUCUUGUUAAAUAAUAGAUCAUAAGUGUUGAAAUAACAGUUUUCUUUAAAGACUAACUUCCUUCAAGCCUCCUUGCUUUGUGCUAAUAACUCUUUGUAAAGCCCUAUCCUAUGUAGCUGUUAGAUAUAAAGGAAUAAGUACAUUAUAUGUCUUUGUGCUUUAAUCAAGGUUAUCUGUGCUGGACAUGCUCACAGGCAGGUCCCGGCUCGAAGCCUAUGCCCCUUCCUUAUUUGGGAAUGUGAUUACUUUUCUAAGUCUUUUCAUAAGCAACUUCCUCUUUUCCUUUGUUCUCCAUUGCUUUUGCCUAUUUAGAAACAUUUUAAAUUAUUAGUCAGUCAGCUUUAGUUUAGAUUGUGUGGUCCGGCUCCAGCCAAUGGAGACAGGACACAGUAGCAGGGACAAGUUGCAUAAAGGAUAAAAAUUGCUUCCCUCCUUUAUUCAGGUGUGCUCUUGCCAUUGUUCCAUCUGCGAGGAGCGCCCUUUCUGCAGAAGGUAAAAUUGCCUUGCUGAGAAAACUUUUUGUUUAAAUGCUGAUGUUUCUUUGUGGUACUGAGGAACAAGCAUUCUGUUUCUAAAUAAACAUUUUGCUUAUAACAUACAUGAAACCUGCAUGCCACAUUCACUGCUUGAUUCAUCAUCACUCACACAGAGAGGCCAUGGGGACAACCUUCAACACGGGGAUGGGGAGAGGAUGGGUGGCCCUCCCUUCAAAGGGAAAAAGACUCAGUGAGAAAAGUGAACAAGCCAGUGAUGCCCACAUGAACGUCAGUGGAUCUUAGUUGCAUUUUGCUAAGGGAAAGAAACCAGACCCAACAAGCUACUGCUGUAGGGUUCCAAUUCAUAGGCCAUUCUGGAAAAGGCCAAAUCAUAGGGACAGAGAACAGGUUGGGAUGGCCAAAGGCUGAUGGACUGGGAAGAGGUUGGCGACAUAGGGGAUACCCUGGAGACUUGGAGGAUGAAGGAAUUGCUCCAGGAGGGGCUGGAGUGGUGGCCAGGAGACUCUGCACAUUGGUUUAGAACCAUGGAGGAACUGUACACCCCAAAGACUGAACUGGAGGGUGUGCAAACUGAAAAAAUAAAAAUCAGAGUGUGAUCAGUCAACUCACUGUACAACUGGGAUAUUUGCAUAUCACAGAUAUGGAUUUUGCUGAAACAUUUCUUAAACAACCAAGGCCCUGAAGAGCUUACAGCCUAUCUGGUGAAUCAUCUGAACCUGAAAUUGGAUUUGUUGUUAGGGUUUGUAGACAAAGUGAAACUAAAAGCGUCUGCACAAAACAAAUGAAAGCCCCCUUUAUCUCUUUCCUAGGCAACAGGAAUUAUUCUACAUCCUCCUGGCAUAUUUGGCAUAUAACCCUAUGAGUAUUCCCAGGCAGUGACAUUUCUGGGCCAUAUUCCCAUAUUCAUGGGCAUGGGUGUCUGGUAAGGGCAUCGUUGCUUCUUUCAAAGUCAGUAUUUGUGACCCACCAGGAUAUAGUAGAUAGGACUCCAGCUCACUGCUGGCUUAAAUCUCCAAGCAAGGGAGGUGGUCUCAAGGGGUCAAACUGAGACAGAGGAGUCAGGGCCCCAACUACUAGUGUCACCUGGGCCUGACCACCACUUCUCAUAACAAGAAAUGACACCCUCCUCCUGGGGCUGUCCUGAAGCCCAGGAGCUUGGCAGUGUCACAUGCAGGACGGUGCCCUCAGGAAACAUUUUGGACAAGUUGCUGAAGUGCCUGAUGGACAUGGCUCUUGUUAGGAAAUAAAUUUGCAUCCGGAGGAAGCCUCUUCUUCAGAGGAAGCCUCCCCAGUCACCUCUGCCCUCUCCAAUGACAUGAGUCCUCCCAGGUGACCUCAGCCCUCCAGGAGAUGUCCUUCCAUGGUGACUCUGGAUCUUGCAGGAGGUGGACUACUGCAGGGACCUGAGCCACGCUGCUGCCUUGUUUCUCCUCUAUCAGCCUGAGGAGGAUGCAUUCUGGGCACCGGCCCAGCUGUUGGCUGAUGAGAGGUACUCCCCGCAGGGUAGGUGAACAGCUGCCCCCCAAACACGCAGCCAAACCCGGGGAUGGCCACCCUAGCCAGAUUAUCUCGACUUUCAGCAAAGGUACCUUCCUUGUGUCGCCAGCUUGUUGGGAGCAUUUAGGAUGUCUCUGCUGAGGGUCCCACAGGAGCCCAGGGAUGAACAGGGACCCCCAGACCCUGAGUCAGAUGCCUUUCAUCCCCGUCAGCAGAGGGCAUCUCAUCUUCACCGUGGCUGAUCUCUGUGUCCUGGAGCCACACUCUCCAGCUCUAAUUCCAUGCAGCUGACUCUCCCCUCCCUGAGAGUCCUCCUGCCCUCCAGCUGGCCGGGCUCCAGCUGCCCUUGGUCUCCACAGGUGGGCCGACAAAGCCCAGAUGGCAGCAUCUCCCCAUCCCGUGUCCCCUGGUCUGACCCCACUUCCAGGAGACAACCAGGAAGCCCAGCACCCACCCUGUUCUUUCUUUCUGCUCUCUGUCGUGGCCUCAAAGUCAGGCUUGCCCUCCCGGCAUCCUGGCCCAGGAGGCCUCCUGGAGCACCUCCAGCCAGGCUCCAGGGGAUGUUCCCACCCCUCCUCCCCAGGGCCAAGGCCACAUGGUGGGGUCACCAGAUGGGAGGGUGGGAGGCCUUGGGGCUCAGGGGCCUCUGCAGCUGCCCAGUUCUUCCAGCCGACAGCUCCACAUCUUGGGAGCAGGCUCUGAUUUCAUGAUGGGCUGGGGUCUUCUCAAAUUCUACAGCCCAAAUAGCACGAGGCCCCAGGGGCUCCAGGACCACCAGGACCAUGUGGUACCCUAGUCAUACCCCAAGACCACUAGGCACCCUGGGAGUUUAUGGUCCCCUCGGCUCUUUCCCAGAGGCCCUGCAUCCCAUAGGGCUGGCAGAGUGCGGGGCUGGAGACCCCUGUGGGGCUGAUGAGAGGCUGAGUCCCAGCCAGGCCCUGACCUGGGAUGUGGGGGUUCUCCAUGCGUUUGGAGUUGGGUUUCCUCCCCUGCCCUGGAGGACACAGAGGCACAGGCACUGGGGCCCAGCUCCUGCAGAGCAAGGCCAAGGGCAGUAUGUCCACCGGGGGUGUGGAAAGGGGAAGGUGUUGUGGGGAGCCCUGGACACCAUCCUGUGUUCUGCACUUGGGGAAGGGUCUUCAGAGGACCCUGGAAGAGG
ensembl:lncRNA